ACGGAAGGCAGCAGUGGGGAAUAUUGGUCAAUGGGGGAAACCCUGAACCAGCAACGCCGCGUGAGGGAAGAAGGCCUUCGGGUUGUAAACCUAAGUUGUCAGGGACGAAGAAAGUGACGGUACCUGAAGAGGAAGCUCCGGCUAACUACGUGCCAGCAGCCGCGGUAAUACGUAGGGAGCGAGCGUUGUCCGGAAUUACUGGGUGUAAAGGGUGCGUAGGCGGGAUUUUAAGUCUGACGUGAAAGACCGAGGCUCAACCACGGUAGUGCGUUGGAAACUGAGAUUCUUGAGUGAAGUAGAGGCAGGCGGAAUUCCUAGUGUAGCGGUGAAAUGCGUAGAUAUUAGGAGGAACACCAGUGGCGAAGGCGGCCUGCUGGGCUUUAACUGACGCUGAGGCACGAAAGCAUGGGGAGCAAACAGGAUUAGAUACCCUGGUA
rnacentral:rRNA from 1 species